GACGUAGGGUCCGAGCGUUGUCCGGAGUUACUGGGCGUAAAGCGUGCGCAGGCGGUUCGUUGUGUCGGCGGUGAAAGCCCCGGGCUCAACCUGGGAAUGGCCGUUGAAACUGGCGAACUGGAGUGUGGCAGAGGGGGGGUGGAAUUCCGCGUGUAGCAGUGAAAUGCGUAGAGAUGCGGAGGAACACCGAUGGCGAAGGCAGCCCCCCUGGGCUGACACUGACGCUCAGGCACGAAAGCGUGGGGAGCAAACAGG
rnacentral:rRNA from 1 species